UACCGAGGUCUCAAGCGUUGUUCGGAUUUAUUGGGCGUAAAGGGUGCGUAGGCGGCGCGGUAAGUCGGGUGUGAAAUCUCGGAGCUUAACUCCGAAACUGCAUUUGAUACUGCCGUGCUUGAGGACUGGAGAGGAGACUGGAAUUCUCGGUGUAGCGGUGAAAUGCGUAGAUAUCGAGAGGAACACCCGUGGCGAAGGCGGGUCUCUGGACAGUUCCUGACGCUGAGGCACGAAGGCCAGGGGAGCAAACGGG
rnacentral:rRNA from 1 species